UAAUAAGUGUUUUAUGGCACUUUUUAAAUCCAUAUCCACCUUGUGUGCAAUGUCGGUCGAUCUUCUUUUUUUGAGGAUCGACCAAACAUCAACCUUUAUUUUUUAACUCUUUGUCUGAAAAAUAUCAUGAAUAAAUAAUUCAAAAUA
rnacentral:misc_RNA from 1 species